GACGAACGCUGGCGGCGUGCUUAACACAUGCAAGUCGAACGGAAAGGCCCUGCUCUUGUGGGGUGCUCGAGUGGCGAACGGGUGAGUAACACGCGAGUAACCUGCCCUUGACUUUGGGAUAACUUCAGGAAACUGGGGCUAAUACCGGAUAGGAGCUCCUGCUGCAUGGUGGGGGUUGGAAAGAUUCGGCGGUUGGGGAUGGACUGGCGGCUUAUCAGCUUGUUGGUGGGGUAGUGGCUUACCAAGGCUUUGACGGGUAGCCGGCCUGAGAGGGUGACCGGCCACAUUGGGACUGAGAUACGGCCCAGACUCCUACGGGAGGCAGCAGUGGGGAAUAUUGCGCAAUGGGCGGAAGCCUGAUGCAGCAACGCCGCGUGCGGGAUGACGGCCUUCGGGUUGUAAACCGCUUUCGCCUGUGACGAAGCGUGAGUGACGGUAAUGGGUAAGGAAGCACCGGCUAACUACGUG
rnacentral:rRNA from 1 species